rnacentral:rRNA from 1 species
UACGGAGGAUCCGAGCGUUAUCCGGAUUUAUUGGGUUUAAAGGGUGCGCAGGCGGGGGAUUAAGUCGGCGGUGAAAUUUUGCAGCUCAACUGUAAAAGUGCCUUCGAAACUGGUUUCCUUGAGUGUAGAUGAAGUAGGCGGAAUUUGUGGUGUAGCGGUGAAAUACAUAGAUAUCACGAGGAACUCCGAUUGCGCAGGCAGCUUACUAAACUACUACUGACGCUCAGGCACGAAGGCGUGGGGAGUCAAACAGGAUUAGAUACCCGCGUAGUCCCU